GACGAACGCUGGCGGCGUGCUUAACACAUGCAAGUCGAACGGAAAGGCCCUGCUUUUGUGGGGUGCUCGAGUGGCGAACGGGUGAGUAACACGUGAGUAACCUGCCCUUGACUUUGGGAUAACUUCAGGCAACUGGGGCUAAUACCGGCUAUGAGCUCCUGCUGCAUGGUGGGGGUUGGAAAGUUUCGGCGGUUGGGGAUGGACUCGCGGCUUAUCAGCUUGUUGGUGGGGUAGUGGCUUACCAAGGCUUUGACGGGUAGCCGGCCUGAGAGGGUGAACGGCCACAUUGGGACUGAGAUGCGGCCCAGACUCCUACGGGAGGCAGCAGUGGGGAAUAUUGCACAAAGUGCGGGAGCCUGAUGCAGCAUCGCCGAGUGCGGGAUGACGGCCUUCGGGUAGUAAACCGCUUGCGCCUGUGACGAAGCGUGAGUGACGGUAAUGGGGAAAGAAGCACCGGCUAACUACGU
rnacentral:rRNA from 1 species